rnacentral:rRNA from 1 species
CUACGGGGUGCAGCAGUAGGGAAUCUUCCACAAUGGGCGAAAGCCUGAUGGAGCAACGCCGCGUGAGUGAAGAAGGUUUUCGGAUCGUAAAACUCUGUUGUAAGGGAAGAACAAGUACAGUAGUAACUGGCUGUACCUUGACGGUACCUUAUUAGAAAGCCACGGCGAACUACGUGCCAGCAGCCGCGGUAAUACGUAGGUGGCAAGCGUUGUCCGGAAUUAUUGGGCGUAAAGCGCGCGCAGGCGGUCCUUUAAGUCUGAUGUGAAAGCCCACGGCUCAACCGUGGAGGGUCAUUGGAAACUGGGGGACUUGAGUGCAGAAGAGGAAAGUGGAAUUCCAAGUGUAGCGGUGAAAUGCGUAGAGAUUUGGAGGAACACCUGUGGCGAAGGCGACUUUCUGGUCUGUAACUGACGCUGAGGCGCGAAAGCGUGGGGAGCAAACAGGAUUAGAUACCCUUGUAGUC